rfam:Perkinsus marinus ATCC 50983 gcontig_1104296645576, whole genome shotgun sequence.
GGUCUCGUGGCCUAAUGGAUAAUGCGUUGGUCUUCGGAAUCUAAGACUAUGGGUUCGAGUCCCAUCGAGAUCG